rnacentral:misc_RNA from 1 species
GUCCGUUAGUUUUUUCCAUAUCUGAAUUAAUCAGUGUUGGCCGCGUACUAGUUGUCAUAUAUAAAUUUUAGUACUUCUUAUGAUGACAAUACAGCAGUUUACUCAAGGAAUGGAGACGCAUGGAUUCACUUAUCUCACACGUGGGAAAGUAUCAACAUCCUACAUUAAUGGACUGGAGGAGGUCGAGAAUAUUGCAGGUUUAAUGCAGUCUACGAAUAAUAGUUACUCAAAAAGGCAGUACGGCAGAUCACUCAAGUCACGCUGAUACAUGAAUUCACAUUUCUCACGCGUGGGAUAGUAUCAACAGCCUACGUUGCAAAUGGACUAGAAGAUGCUGAGAAUAAUACGUGUUAUAUGCAAUAUGGCAGUACGGCAGUUCACUUAAGGAAUUCUGACGCAUGGAUUCACUUAUCUCACACGUGGGAAAGUAUCAACAUCCUAUGUUGCAAAUGGACUAGAAGAUGCUGAGAAUAAUACGUGUUAUAUGCAAUG